GGAUGUGGGUUGUUUGGGUUUGAUUUGUGCCUGCAUGGCAUCUCCAUGACAUAUGUCUUCUAUUUGGUGGGUCAUAUUGGCAUCUCCAUGUCCUUCCCAUGCACAUGUCCUUCCCACCCAUGACCUGUGGCCGGAAGAGCCAUUUGCAGAGCCCUGUGCCCUGGCACAGUCAUGCCUGUCAAACAAGAACUAUGCUGCAUAUUGGAGGCUGACCUCACACUCCCAUUUCCCUCCUCUCCUGUGUAGGUGGCAGGACCUCCUGGUGGGCGCCCCCUACUACUUUGAGAGGAAAGAGGAAGUAGGGGGUGCCAUCUAUGUCUUCAUGAACCAGGCGGGAACCUCCUUCCCUGUUCACCCCUCGCUCCUUCUUCAUGGCCCCAGUGGCUCUGCCUUCGGUUUAUCUGUGGCCAGCAUUGGUGACAUCAACCAGGAUGGAUUUCAGGAUAUUGCCGUGGGAGCUCCGUUUGAAGGCUUGGGCAAAGUGUACAUCUAUCACAGUAGCUCUAAGGGGCUCCUCAGACAGCCCCAGCAGGUAAUCCAUGGAGAGAAGCUGGGACUGCCUGGCUUGGCCACCUUCGGCUAUUCCCUCAGUGGGCAGAU
rnacentral:sRNA from 1 species